rnacentral:rRNA from 1 species
AUUGAACGCUGGCGGCAGGCUUAACACAUGCAAGUCGAGCGGGGGAAGGUAGCUUGCUACCGGACCUAGCGGCGGACGGGUGAGUAAUGCCUAGGAAUCUGCCUAUUAGUGGGGGACAACAUCUCGAAAGGGACGCUAAUACCGCAUACGUCCUACGGGAGAAAGCAGGGGAUCUUCGGACCUUGCGCUAAUAGAUGAGCCUAAGUCGGAUUAGCUAGUUGGUGGGGUAAAGGCCUACCAAGGCGACGAUCUGUAGCGGGUCUGAGAGGAUGAUCCGCCACACUGGGACUGAGACACGGCCCAGACUCCUACGGGAGGCAGCAGUGGGGAAUAUUGGACAAUGGGGGGAACCCUGAUCCAGCCAUGCCGCGUGUGUGAAGAAGGCCUUAUGGUUGUAAAGCACUUUAAGCGAGGAGGAGGCUCUUUUGGUUAAUACCCAAGAUGAGUGGACGUUACUCGCAGAAUAAGCACCGGCUAACUCUGUGCCAGCCGCCGCGGUAA